UCGUAACGCACUUCUUGGGCGUUUCCUCCCUAAACUCAGGCCGUGCCCUCUGGCACGGCCUUUUUCUUUGGCCGU
rnacentral:sRNA from 2 species